GCCAACCUCCUCCGUCAAUGUCCUUUAUCAUUGUUUUUUUUUUUUUAUCUUCUCUACACUUCCCCUCUAAUUUAAAUUUUUUUUUCUUCUACUUACAUCUUCUACUUACUUCCCCUCUGAGUACUCCAUUGCGACAAACUCCAUCUCUUACAAGCAUUUUUCAACAAUCGUUUGCACUAUAAAAAAUCACGUUUUCUACACCACUGGUGAAAACUGAAAACCAGAUUUCAAAAGUAAAAAUAAGUUUUACCAAAAAUCUGUUAUGCUUGCCUGGUGGGAUGGUGGUAACUGGUUUCACAGAGAAAGCUGAAAAUGUGGACAAUGUUGAAACCGGUUGUACAGGUUGCCAAUUAAACCAUUUAGUGAAAAUAAUGAUGUGGCAGCAAAACAAUGGGUGUGUUGGUAGGCGAGGGUUUAAACGUGUGACGCUAGC
rnacentral:lncRNA from 1 species